rnacentral:misc_RNA from 1 species
GAUGAAGAACGCAGCGAAAUGCGAUAAGUAAUGUGAAUUGCAGAAUUCAGUGAAUCAUCGAAUCUUUGAACGCACAUUGCGCCCGCUAGUAUUCUGGCGGGCAUGCCUGUUCGAGCGUCAUUUCAACCAUCAAGCCCUGUUUAGGCUUGUGUUGGGGCCCUGCGGCUGCCGCAGCCUCCCAAAACCAGUGGCGGGCUCGCUAUCACACCGAGUGCAGUAGUUUACUCUUCGCUCAGGGCGUGUGGCGGGUGCUAGCCGUAAAACCCCCAACUUCUCAAGGUUGACCUCGGAUCAGGUAGGAAUACCCGCUGAACUUAAGCAUAUCAAUAAGCGGAGGA